rnacentral:rRNA from 1 species
UUUACGGAGAGUUUGAUCCUGGCUCAGGAUGAACGCUGGCGGCGUGCUUAACACAUGCAAGUCGAACGGUGAAAGAGAGCUUGCUCUCUGGAUCAGUGGCGAACGGGUGAGUAACACGUGAGCAAUCUGCCCCUGACUCUGGGAUAA